UCCGGUGAUAGGCAGACUCCGAGCAUAUAGUGGUAUGCGAUCAUAUCUGUACGUCUUCCUCUCUCACGUGAGAGCCCAAUCCUGAAGUUCUUCCUAACGAGGAGGUCCUCACGCAAAGAACGCAUUCACUCCGCUGGCAAGUCCCAAGUGGGUGUAUAUGUAUCGCAGAGGAUUCUGAGAGACAAAGAAGAUUUUUCGAGACGGGAACUGGUACAUACCGCGAGGUUUCGUUCUCCAGGAAAACAUUUUGCAAGAUGACGAGAUUUGAGCAGCGUAAAGCCACCUGAAUCCUAGAACCGUGCCACUGCCCAAAUCAACACCGCCGUCUAUGAGACGAAGUAUUGUUGGAAUACGCUCCUCCACGACGUUCUGGCAAGCUAGCUGAAACGGCAUGUCUGCAAAUCCCCUCGCUGUGUCAAGGCUUUGGGGAGCCUGUCAGGGGCUCUUCAUUGCUGCAGCUAUCCUUGCACAGGCAAAAUCGAUAAAGGACCACCCCCUGCAAGCUGACAUCACCAAUACUGGUGAUGGCGGACAAGGUGCUUUCUUGCCACCAACAAAAUUUUAUGUGCGUGUCAAGCACACUGGAUACUAUAACAUGUCAUUGUGGCAGUUCGUAGUCACCUGCUUUCUGCAGUGUCUGGCGGUGCGAGUGCGCGCUUAUUGUCAUGACUCAUGGCAACUUAUUCUUUGCUGCCUUGCAGAUGCCCUCAACCGGGAGUAUAUGCAGCUGCACACAGUCGCGCAUGUUGAUAAGCUGGCGAUCUGCAAUGAUCGGUCCCCAGGAGCAUACUACCAUCGGCCAGGGACAGCAGACAACAGCACAAGG
rnacentral:lncRNA from 1 species